rnacentral:rRNA from 1 species
UACGUAGGGCGCAAGCGUUGUCCGGAAUUAUUGGGCGUAAAGAGCUCGUAGGUGGUUUGUCGCGUUGUCCGUGAAAACUCACAACUCAAUUGUGGGCGUGCGGGCGAUACGGGCAGACUGGAGUACUGCAGGGGAGACUGGAAUUCCUGGUGUAGCGGUGGAAUGCGCAGAUAUCAGGAGGAACACCGGUGGCGAAGGCGGGUCUCUGGGCAGUAACUGACGCUGAGGAGCGAAAGCGUGGGGAGCGAACAGG